rnacentral:rRNA from 1 species
AGAGUGGACGCUGGCGGCAGGCCUAACACAUGCAAGUCGAACGGCAGCACAGUAAGAGCUUGCUCUUAUGGGUGGCGAGUGGCGGACGGGUGAGGAAUACAUCGGAAUCUGCCUAUUUGUGGGGGAUAACGUAGGGAAACUUACGCUAAUACCGCAUACGACCUACGGGUGAAAGCGGAGGACCUUCGGGCUUCGCGCAGAUAGAUGAGCCGAUGUCGGAUUAGCUAGUUGGUGGGGUAAAGG